rnacentral:lncRNA from 1 species
GUCUUCCUCGCAGGUGGGUGACCUGCCUGAGGAAGGGGGUUCUCAGAGCAGCGCUGGACCACGGAUGCAGCGCUCUGUGGAAUAGCCACUGCUCAGGAGAAAGCCGCAGGAGACCAGGAUGCCCCGCCCAGGAGUGACAUUGAUGGAUGAGGGUUUGCUGCUCCUGCAGACGCGAGCCUCGCAGAACCCUGCCUGCUUGAGAGGCAGGGGGCCAAGACAAUCCGCUUUUUGUUGGGUGUGGGGCGGGACCACAUCUCUCGAUCGGUUCGUCUGAUGAUGGACACUCAGGUAGUUUCCGUACCUUGGCUGUCGUGAACAACGCUGCAGUGAAUGUGGGAGCGCAGGUGUAUCUCUUCCAUAUCCUGUUUUCAGCUAGCCACAUGCAGAAGAAUAAAACUGGAGCCCUGUCUUACACUAUUCACAAAAAUCAACUUAAAAUGGACAAAGACUUAAAUGUAUAACCGAAAAUCAUAAAAUUCCUAGAAGAAAACAUAAGAGAUAAGCUCCUUGAUAUUGGUCUUGGCAAUGACUUUUUGGAUUUGACACCCAAGCAAAGGCAACAAAAGCAAAAACA